ACUGCAACAAUCGAUUUAUUGAUUUCAAUACGAGUGUUACAAUCUCUAUGAAUUCACUGAUUCGCCUUUUCAAAUAUAAAUUCAAGGGUUUCGAGCUUGAUCUUGAACUUUAACUUGAACUUGACGGAUUUGAUCGGGCUUGGUAGCCUGUUCUUGAAUCUUACGGUCUUGAUCUUGAACUAAAACAACUAAAACUUGAUUUGAAGACUUGAUGAACUUGAUCUCAACUUGUACUUGAAUUCAAGGGCCGAUGAACUUGAUCUCAACUUGUACUUGAAUUCAAGGGCCGUUGAAGACUUGAUGAACUUGAUCUCAACUUGUACUUGAAUUCAAGGGCCGUUGAGCUUGUUCUUGAAUCUUGUAGUCUUGAUCUUGAAGCUUGGACUUGUUCUUGAACCUGUAGAGAAAUCUGUUGUUUUGAUCCACGAGUUCUCUC
rnacentral:lncRNA from 1 species